UACAGAGGACUCGAGCGUUAGGCGGAAUCACUGGGCUUAAAGCGUGUGUAGGCGGAUCGGUAAGUACCUUGUGAAAUCCCACAGCUUAACUGUGGAACUGCUUGGUAUACUGCCAGUCUUGAGCCACUUAGGGGCUACCGGAACAAAUGGUGGAGCGGUGAAAUGCGUAGAUAUCAUUUGGAACGCCAAUGGUGAAAACAGGUAGCUGGGAGUGUGCUGACGCUGAGACACGAAAGCCAGGGGAGCAAACGGG
rnacentral:rRNA from 1 species